GUGGGGAAUCUUGCGCAAUGAGCGAAAGCUUGACGCAGCAACGCCGCGUGGGGGAAGAAUGCCUUCGGGUUGUAAACCCCUUUCAGGAGGAACGAAGGAUCGGCCGUUAAUAGCGGAUCGGUUUGACGGUACCUCCAGAAGAAGCCCCGGCUAACUACGUGCCAGCAGCCGCGGUAAUACGUAGGGGGCAAGCGUUGUCCGGAAUCAUUGGGCGUAAAGCGCGCGUAGGCGGUUCGAUAAGUCUGCUGUGAAAGUCAAAGGCUCAACCUUUGAAAGCCGGUGGAAACUGUCGAGCUAGAGUCCGGAAGAGGCGAGUGGAAUUCCUGGUGUAGCGGUGGAAUGCGCAGAUAUCAGGAAGAACACCAACGGCGAAGGCAGCUCGCUGGGACGGUACUGACGCUAAGGCGCGAAAGCGUGGGGAGCAAACAGGAUUAGAAACCCUGGUAGUCC
rnacentral:rRNA from 1 species